GGAGAGCUGUCCGAGUUGGCCGAAGGAGCACGAUUGGAAAUCGUGUAGGCUACGCAAGUGGUCUCGAGGGUUCAAAUCCCUCGCUCUCCGCCA
rnacentral:tRNA from 1 species